GAUUAACGCGGCGGCGUGCAUAACACAUGCAAGUCGAACGAUGAAACUUUUUUGAUUUCUUCGGAAUGAUUAAAAGUGGAUUAGUGGCGGACGGGUGAGUAACGCGUGAGUAACCUGCCUUAGAGAAGGGGAUAGCCUUUGGAAACGAAGAAUAAUACCCUAUGAAACCAUAACCUCGCAUGAGGCCUUGGUCAAAGAUUUAUCGCUCUAAGAUGGACUUGCGUCUGAUUAGUUAGUUGGUGGGGUAACGGCCCACCAAGACAGCGAUCAGUAGCCGGCUUGAGAGAGUGUACGGCCACAUUGGGACUGAGACACGGCCCAGACUCCUACGGGAGGCAGCAGUGGGGAAUUUUGCACAAUGGGGGAAACCCUGAUGCAGCGACGCCGCGUGAUUUAGAAGGCCUUCGGGUUGUAAAAAUCUUUUCUAUGGGAAGAAAAUGACAGUACCAUAGGAAUAAGGACCGGCUAAUUACGUGCCAGCAGCCGCGGUAAUACGUAAGGUCCGAGCGUUGUCCGGAAUCAUUGGGCGUAAAGGGUACGUAGGCGGGUAAGCAAGUUAGAAGUGAAAUCCUAUAGCUCAACUAUAGUAAGCUUUUAAAACUGCUCAUCUUGAGGUAUGGAAGGGAAAGUGGAAUUCCUAGUGUAGCGGUGAAAUGCGCAGAUAUUAGGAGGAAUACCGGUGGCGAAGGCGACUUUCUGGCCAUAACCUGACGCUGAGGUACGAAAGCGUGGGUAGCAAACAGG
rnacentral:rRNA from 1 species